rnacentral:rRNA from 1 species
CAGUCGCCGCGGGAAUACGUAGGUGGCAAGCGUUGUCCGGAAUUAUUGGGCGUAAAGCGCGCGCAGGCGGAUAGGUCAGUCUGUCUUAAAAGUUCGGGGCUUAACCCCGUGAUGGGAUGGAAACUGCUGAUCUAGAGUAUCGGAGAGGAAAGUGGAAUUCCUAGUGUAGCGGUGAAAUGCGUAGAUAUUAGGAAGAACACCAGUGGCGAAGGCGACUUUCUGGACGAAAACUGACGCUGAGGCGCGAAAGCCAGGGGAGCGAACGGGAUUAGAUACCCCUGUAGUCCCUGUCUCUUAUACC